UACGAAGGGGGGCUAGCGUUGUUCGGAAUUACUGGGCGUAAAGCGCGUGUAGGCGGCUGCGCAAGUCGGAUGUGAAAUCCCAUGGCUCAACCAUGGAAGUGCACCCGAAACUGCGUAGCUAGAGUCUCGGAGAGGAAGGCGGAAUGCUUGGUGUAGAGGUGAAAUUCGUAGAUAUCAAGCGGAACACCGGUGGCGAAGGCGGCCUUCUGGACGAUGACUGACGCUGAGACGCGAAAGCGUGGGGGAGCAAACAGG
rnacentral:rRNA from 1 species